rnacentral:rRNA from 1 species
GAUGAACGCUAGCGGCAGGCCUAACGCAUGCAAGUCGAGGGAUAAGCCUUCGGGCUAAGACCGGCGCACGGGUGCGUAACGCGUAUACAAUCUGCCUUUUAUCCGGGGGAUAGCCCGAAGAAAUUUGGAUUAAUACCCUAUGGUAUAAGAGCACGGCAUCGUGCACUUAUUAAAGCUACGGCGGUAAAAGAUGAGUAUGCGUUCUAUUAGCUAGUUGGAGAGGUAACGGCUCCCCAAGGCGACGAUAGAUAGGGGUUCUGAGAGGGAUGUCCCCCACACUGGUACUGAGAUACGGACCAGACUCCUACGGGAGGCAGCAGUGAGGAAUAUUGGACAAUGGUCGGAAGACUGAUCCAGCCAUGCCGCGUGCAGGAUGACGGCCUUAUGGGUUGUAAACUGCUUUUGUAAGGGAAGAAUAAGGAGUACGUGUACUUUGAUGACGGUACCUUACGAAUAAGCAUCGGCUAACUCCGUG